GUAGCACGAAGCAGGUUUGUCAUCCGGCUUGUGCAUAUUCAAAUAUCCAGUUCCUGUCCUGAGGAAUGGAACAUUCCGUUCUGUUAUUUUCUUCUUUCUCUACCCUUUGUUGAAUCGAGGGGUUCAACCCCAGAAGUCCACACUAACAGCCCCAAAUGCAAGGCCCAUAAGCAAACGCCACUGUUUCAUCUUCUCUCGCAAGACGUCGUGACUGGCUACGCAGUGAUCUCGGGCCCAGCGCGGGCUUCUGGAAGCCUGUGGAGGUAGUUAACCCUGUGGAGAAGCAUAGGUGGUGAUCAUGUCAGGAGAGUUCCCUAGCUGGGGAGUAAUCUGUUCAUUGUUUGUGCGCGCUGUGUUCGCGGAAACCAUUUUUAGUUUUAUUGGAUAAUCUACUUUGUAUUCGAGAAAUAGAUGGAACAAACGAGUUCUUGUCCAAUAAAUUCCCGUAUAGUAACUAGUAAAGUAGCUGGACGGACUAAGAGUAAAAUAGCGGCGGAGAAAAUCUAGAAAGUUUCAUACUCAUGCUACUUGUUUCUAUACUACUAUUUUUUACAAAAGCAGAAUAUCGGGAGGAGAAAGAAGUAAUUUUUGUGCUUUGUUUUCAUCUUUGUGCUGCUGCUUCUUCCCUUGCCAUAUAUCCCGUUAUUGUCGCCUUUUAUGUUCACUUUUUCCCCUUUCUUUCUUCUCCCUUUUUCAUGGUAUACAUACGUAGUUUUUGGAAUGAAAAAGAUAACUGACAUAUGGCAUAAUAACAUUAUUAUUAUUAUCACAACGUCCCUAGAUAAUCCUCCUUGAUGCUUCCAAUCGCAAACAUAUUGCGCACAUCAUUUCGCAACCCAAUCAGUUUGAUGCGCAGAUUGGUCCCCUUCUCAAUAACCUGUUCUCCAUUAUCAGUAUAUUGCGGUGGAGUCGCGUCAGGGUCCCAUUUGAUUUCGGGGGGAAUCAAAUGUUUCGACACGAAGACCGUCAGCGGGCCAACCUCCGCAAAUAUCCCUUGAUUCUUAACAGAUGUCACGAUAGCAUCGACCGUCUCCCCCUUAAAGGGCUUCCACACAAUAGCCCUGUACAUGAUAGUAUACUCCGCCAAUCCGCUACCAGGCAGUACUCUCCCCUCCGAAAUAUCAUACGUAUCCAUCACACAGACGAUGUAAUAGUCACCCGUGCACACGCCCUCCACGUCAUCUAGCAGCUUCUGCGUCAGAUAUUCCUUCACGUGUGAGCCGAAGAAGGUUGGGUGGAGGGUGAGGACGUGUUCGAGGAAGUGGAUAAAAAACAUCGUGAGUGAAAAAGUCCGGCCGGUGGAAGAAACGACAGAAAGAUGAAAAGUAAACCGUGCGCCGUGCUUUCGCGCUCCCUUUCCCGGUCCCUAUAUAUAGAGAUUGGAAAUGAGAAAAAAUCCGAACGCGAUCCUUUGCAGGCAAUGGAUUGCCCGGUCUU
rnacentral:sRNA from 2 species